rnacentral:rRNA from 1 species
GAUAAACGCUGGCGGCGUGCAUGAGACAUGAAAGUCGAACGAAGGAUCGGGCUUGCUCGAUCCUUAGUGGCGGACGGCUGAGUAACGCGUAGGUGACCUACCCCGAAGUGGGGAAUAACUGCCCGAAAGGGUGGCUAAUACCGCAUGUGGUCGCACGUUCAUUCGUGCGAGUAAAGCCGCAAGGCGCUUCGGGAGGGGCCGGCGUCCGAUUAGCUCGUUGGUGGGGGAAUGGCUUGCCAAGGCGAGGAUCGGGAGGUGGUCGGAGAGGACGCUCACCCAGACUGGGACUGAGACCCGGCCCAGACUCCUACGGGAGGCAGCAGUCUGGAAUUUUGCUCGAUGGGGGAAACCCUGAAGCAGCAACGCCGCGUGAGGGAUGAAGGCCUUCGGGUUGUAAACCUCUUUUGUCAGGGACGAUGAUGACGGUACCUGGCGAAUAAGCCACGGCUAACUACGUG